UUAAGCGACUAAGCGUACACGGUGGAUGCCCUGGCAGUCAGAGGCGAUGAAGGACGUGCUAAUCUGCGAUAAGCGUCGGUAAGGUGAUAUGAACCGUUAUAACCGGCGAUUUCCGAAUGGGGAAACCCAGUGUGAUUCGUCACACUAUCAUUAACUGAAUCCAUAGGUUAAUGAGGCGAACCGGGGGAACUGAAACAUCUAAGUACCCCGAGGAAAAGAAAUCAACCGAGAUUCCCCAGUAGCGGCGAGCGAACGGGGAGCAGCCCAGAGCCUGAAUCAGUGUGUGUGUUAGUGGAAGCGUCUGGAAAGGCGUGCGAUACAGGGUGACAGCCCGUACACAAAAAUGCACAUAUUGUGAGCUCGAUGAGUAGGGCGGGACACGUGGUAUCCUGUCUGAAUAUGGGGGACCAUCCUCCAAGGCUAAAUACUCCUGACUGACCGAUAGUGAACCAGUACCGUGAGGGAAAGGCGAAAAGAACCCCGGCGAGGGGAGUGAAAAAGAACCUGAAACCGUGUACGUACAAGCAGUGGGAGCACGCUUAGGCGUGUGACUGCGUACCUUUUGUAUAAUGGGUCAGCGACUUAUAUUCUGUAGCAAGGUUAACCGAAUAGGGGAGCCGAAGGGAAACCGAGUCUUAACUGGGCGUUAAGUUGCAGGGUAUAGACCCGAAACCCGGUGAUCUAGCCAUGGGCAGGUUGAAGGUUGGGUAACACUAACUGGAGGACCGAACCGACUAAUGUUGAAAAAUUAGCGGAUGACUUGUGGCUGGGGGUGAAAGGCCAAUCAAACCGGGAGAUAGCUGGUUCUCCCCGAAAGCUAUUUAGGUAGCGCCUCGUGAAUUCAUCUCCGGGGUAGAGCACUGUUUCGGCAAGGGGUCAUCCCGACUUACCAACCCGAUGCAAACUGCGAAUACCGGAGAAUGUUAUCACGGGAGACACACGGCGGGUGCUAACGUCCGUCGUGAAGAGGGAAACAACCCAGACCGCCAGCUAAGGUCCCAAAGUCAUGGUUAAGUGGGAAACGAUGUGGGAAGGCCCAGACAGCCAGGAUGUUGGCUUAGAAGCAGCCAUCAUUUAAAGAAAGCGUAAUAGCUCACUGGUCGAGUCGGCCUGCGCGGAAGAUGUAACGGGGCUAAACCAUGCACCGAAGCUGCGGCAGCGACACUAUGUGUUGUUGGGUAGGGGAGCGUUCUGUAAGCCUGUGAAGGUGUACUGUGAGGUAUGCUGGAGGUAUCAGAAGUGCGAAUGCUGACAUAAGUAACGAUAAAGCGGGUGAAAAGCCCGCUCGCCGGAAGACCAAGGGUUCCUGUCCAACGUUAAUCGGGGCAGGGUGAGUCGACUCCUAAGGCGAGGCCGAAAGGCGUAGUCGAUGGGAAACAGGUUAAUAUUCCUGUACUUGGUGUUACUGCGAAGGGGGGACGGAGAAGGCUAUGUUGGCCGGGCGACGGUUGUCCCGGUUUAAGCGUGUAGGCUGGUUUUCCAGGCAAAUCCGGAAAACUAAGGCUGAGGCGUGAUGACGAGGCACUACGGUGCUGAAGCAACAAAUGCCCUGCUUCCAGGAAAAGCCUCUAAGCAUCAGGUAACAUCAAAUCGUACCCCAAACCGACACAGGUGGUCAGGUAGAGAAUACCAAGGCGCUUGAGAGAACUCGGGUGAAGGAACUAGGCAAAAUGGUGCCGUAACUUCGGGAGAAGGCACGCUGAUAUGUAGGUGAAGUCCCUCGCGGAUGGAGCUGAAAUCAGUCGAAGAUACCAGCUGGCUGCAACUGUUUAUUAAAAACACAGCACUGUGCAAACACGAAAGUGGACGUAUACGGUGUGACGCCUGCCCGGUGCCGGAAGGUUAAUUGAUGGGGUCAGCGCAAGCGAAGCUCUUGAUCGAAGCCCCGGUAAACGGCGGCCGUAACUAUAACGGUCCUAAGGUAGCGAAAUUCCUUGUCGGGUAAGUUCCGACCUGCACGAAUGGCGUAAUGAUGGCCAGGCUGUCUCCACCCGAGACUCAGUGAAAUUGAACUCGCUGUGAAGAUGCAGUGUACCCGCGGCAAGACGGAAAGACCCCGUGAACCUUUACUAUAGCUUGACACUGAACAUUGAGCCUUGAUGUGUAGGAUAGGUGGGAGGCUUUGAAGUGUGGACGCCAGUCUGCAUGGAGCCGACCUUGAAAUACCACCCUUUAAUGUUUGAUGUUCUAACGUUGACCCGUAAUCCGGGUUGCGGACAGUGUCUGGUGGGUAGUUUGACUGGGGCGGUCUCCUCCUAAAGAGUAACGGAGGAGCACGAAGGUUGGCUAAUCCUGGUCGGACAUCAGGAGGUUAGUGCAAUGGCAUAAGCCAGCUUGACUGCGAGCGUGACGGCGCGAGCAGGUGCGAAAGCAGGUCAUAGUGAUCCGGUGGUUCUGAAUGGAAGGGCCAUCGCUCAACGGAUAAAAGGUACUCCGGGGAUAACAGGCUGAUACCGCCCAAGAGUUCAUAUCGACGGCGGUGUUUGGCACCUCGAUGUCGGCUCAUCACAUCCUGGGGCUGAAGUAGGUCCCAAGGGUAUGGCUGUUCGCCAUUUAAAGUGGUACGCGAGCUGGGUUUAGAACGUCGUGAGACAGUUCGGUCCCUAUCUGCCGUGGGCGCUGGAGAACUGAGGGGGCUGCUCCUAGUACGAGAGGACCGGAGUGGACGCAUCACUGGUGUUCGGGUUGUCAUGCCAAUGGCACUGCCCGGUAGCUAAAUGCGGAAGAGAUAAGUGCUGAAAGCAUCUAAGCACGAAACUUGCCCCGAGAUGAGUUCUCCCUGACUCCUUGAGAGUCCUGAAGGAACGUUGAAGACGACGACGUUGAUAGGCCGGGUGUGUAAGCGCAGCGAUGCGUUGAGCUAACCGGUACUAAUGAACCGUGAGGCUUAACCUU
rnacentral:rRNA from 1 species